AAUCGAUCCUCCCGCCCCGGCCUCCCAGAGUGCUGCCAUCACAGGACUCCAGGACCCUGUGGGCCUCGUCGUGGUGGUAGCAGUAGAUUUUAUAGACGUCUUCCAGGGGCCCUUUCAUCUGCAAGAACACGUCCCCUGACAAAUGCAAAACAAAGGCAAAAUGACAGCAAGUCAGACGCAACUGGCACGUCACGUGUUUAGCGUUCAGCAACGUUAACUAGCGUCAAAGAGCUGGGGGCUGAACCACUUCCCGGACACACAGCUCCAGAUCGUUGAGAUAAUCCUUUUCCGUCUGUAUCAGCUCCCUGAUGAUUUUUGCCCGCUUUGCCAUCAUCCUCCUCAUCUGAUGCUCUUCCUCCGAGCCCGGGGCCUCCGCGGCAGAGCCCUCGGCGUGUGGAGUCAUCUUUUCUGUUCAGUGAAAACGUGCACAGGUGAGACAUCGUGCCGAGGUUCCUUUUGCCCUCAUUCCAAGCAGUGCCACCGCGGGGUGAUCGCUACUAAGGGAAAGGACUCAGGGCGUCUUCAUGACAUGUCCUUAGGAGGUGGCGUGUGACAGUUCCCCACGAGGUCAGAAUCCUACAAACCCUGAGCAAGAGACACGGGGGUGAACUGCUUCUAACACGUGAGUUAAAUGUUACUCCAAGGCCGUGGCUUCUAGAAAAUACCACGUUGCUAGUAUCCUGGGGUACACAGCUGGUCUUCACCCUGGAGGCAGAAUGGAUGAAAACGCAGCUCGGGUGAAAACUCAGCCUGCAUAUGUUUGCUUUUAAAUCAAGGGAAGAGUUUUAACCAGUAAG